rnacentral:misc_RNA from 1 species
AGGUUGGAGAAGCUGGGCACUAGGUUUGGAACGAUGCCCAAAUAUAUCUAGAAGGAAAUCCGGGAUGAGGAUGAUUUUCAUUGGUUGUCAAGACCCUCCAGUUUGUGACAGUUUUAGUUGUACAUGACUCCCAAGUGGGUGAUGAAUAUUGGCUUUUUCUUGUUGCUGUUUUGAUACUUCAAUGUAACCGAUACCUUUUCCUACAUUCUAAAUAAUAAGUAGGACACUUUCUGGUAGACACCUUGAUAAAUCUUCACUUGCAGAUAAUUAUGCAUCAUUGCAGCAUGUGGGAUUGGUUAGGUGUCUUCUUCAUCAUAAUACUGCUUCUUAAACUCACAGUUUGGAGCUUUUCCUCACUCCUUUGCCAAUUAAAUUUCACC